rnacentral:rRNA from 1 species
CCCUUAGAUGUUCUGGGCCGCACGCGCGCUACACUGAUGCAUUCAACGAGUCUAAAACCUGCCCUGAUAGGGGUGGGUAAUCUUUUGAAUGUGCAUCGUGAUUGGGAUAGAUGAUUGCAAUUUUUCAUCUUCAACGAGGAAUGCCUAGUAAACGCAAGUCAUCAGCUUGCAUUGAUUACGUCCCUGCCCUUUGUACACACCGCCCGUCGCUCCUACCGAUUGAAUGAUCCGAUGAAUAUCAUGGAUUGAGGAUGUAGGCAGGUUCGCCUGUCUUCAUCUUCGAGAAGUGAAGUAAAUCUUAUCAUUUAGAGGAAGGAGAAGUCGUAACA